GACGAACGCUGGCGGCGUGCCUAAUACAUGCAAGUAGAACGCACAGUUUAUACCGUAGCUUGCUACACCAUAGACUGUGAGUUGCGAACGGGUGAGUAACGCGUAGGUAACCUGCCUGGUAGCGGGGGAUAACUAUUGGAAACGAUAGCUAAUACCGCAUAAUAUUAAUUAUUGCAUGAUAAUUAAUUGAAAGGUGCAAUUGCACCACUACCAGAUGGACCUGCGUUGUAUUAGCUAGUAGGUGAGGUAACGGCUCACCUAGGCGACGAUACAUAGCCGACCUGAGAGGGUGAUCGGCCACACUGGGACUGAGACACGGCCCAGACUCCUACGGGAGGCAGCAGUAGGGAAUCUUCGGCAAUGGACGAAAGUCUGACCGAGCAACGCCGCGUGAGUGAAGAAGGUUUUCGGAUCGGAAAGCUCUGUUGUAAGAGAAGAACGGGUGUGAGAGUGGAAAGUUCACACUGUGACGGUAGCUUACCAGAAAGGGACGGCUAACUACGUG
rnacentral:rRNA from 1 species